rnacentral:rRNA from 1 species
GAGUGCUGCCAUACCAGCACUACAACACCGAAUUCC